rnacentral:rRNA from 1 species
CCUACGGGAGGCAGCAGUAAGGAAUAUUGGUCAAUGGACGCAAGUCUGAACCAGCCAUGCCGCGUGAAGGAUUAAGGUCCUCUGGAUUGUAAACUUCUUUUAUCUGGGACGAAAAAAGGCGAUUCUUCGUCACUUGACGGUACCAGAUGAAUAAGCACCGGCUAACUCCGUGCCAGCAGCCGCGGUAAUACGGAGGGUGCAAGCGUUAUCCGGAUUCACUGGGUUUAAAGGGUGCGUAGGCGGGCAGGUAAGUCAGUGGUGAAAUCCUAGAGCUUAACUCUAGAACUGCCAUUGAUACUAUCUGUCUUGAAUAUUGUGGAGGUAAGCGGAAUAUGUCAUGUAGCGGUGAAAUGCUUAGAUAUGACAUAGAACACCUAUUGCGAAGGCAGCUUACUACGCAUAUAUUGACGCUGAGGCACGAAAGCGUGGGGAUCAAACAGGAUUAGAUACCCUGGUAGUCCACGCCCUAAACCGAUGAUUACUCGACAUUUGUGAUACACUAUAAGUGUCUGAGCGAAAGCAUUAAGUAAUCCACCUGGAAGUACGACCGCAAGGUUGAAACUCAAAUGAAUUGAGG